rnacentral:SRP_RNA from 1 species
ACGCAGGUCCCGAACAAACGGACGACAUGAACCUGGUCAGACCCGGAAGGGAGCAGCCAUAAGUGUGCGGUUCGUUGUGUUCGGGUAACCUGCACUAU